UACGUGGGGUGCAAGCGUUGUCCGGAAUUAUUGGGCGUAAAGAGCUCGUAGGCGGUCUGUCACGUCGGCUGUGAAAACCCGGGGCUCAACCCCGGGCCUGCAGUCGAUACGGGCAGACUAGAGUGCGGUAGGGGAGACUGGAAUUCCUGGUGUAGCGGUGAAAUGCGCAGAUAUCAGGAGGAACACCGGUGGCGAAGGCGGGUCUCUGGGCCGUAACUGACGCUGAGGAGCGAAAGCGUGGGGAGCGAACAGG
rnacentral:rRNA from 1 species